CUCCGGUUGAUCCCGCCGGACCCGACUGCUAUCAGAGUGGGACUAAGCCAUGCGAGUCGACGUAGCAAUGCGUGGCGAACGGCUCAGUAACACGUAGUCAACAUGCCCAGGGGACGUGGAUAACCUCGGGAAACUGAGAAUAAACCACGAUAGGUCACGAUUUCUGGAAUGGAUCAUGGCCUAAAUCUACAUGGCCCCUGGAUUGGACUGCGGCCGAUCAGGCUGUUGGUGAGGUAAUGGCCCACCAAACCUAUAACCGGUACGGGCUCUGAGAGGAGAAGCCCGGAGAUGGGCACUGAGACAAGGGCCCAGGCCCUAUGGGGCGCAGCAGGCGCGAAACCUCUGCAAUAGGCGAAAGCCUGACAGGGUUACUCUGAGUGAUUUCCGCUAAGGGGAUCUUUUGGCACCUCUAAAAAUGGUGCAGAAUAAGGGGUGGGCAAGUCUGGUGUCAGCCGCCGCGGUAAUACCAGCACCCCGAGUGGUCGGGACGAUUAUUGGGCCUAAAGCAUCCGUAGCCGGUUCUGCAAGUCUUCCGUUAAAUCCAGCCGCUCAAUGGAUGGGCCGCGGAGGAUACUACAGGACUAGGAGGCGGGAGAGGCAAGCGGUACUCAGUGGGUAGGGGUAAAAUCCUUUGAUCCAUUGAAGACCACCAGUGGCGAAGGCGGCUUGCCAGAACGCGCUCGACGGUGAGGGAUGAAAGCUGGGGGAGCAAACCGGAUUAGAUACCCGGGUAGUCCCAGCUGUAAACGAUGCAGACUCGGUGAUGGGCUAGCCUUGUGCCAGCCCAGUGCCGCAGGGAAGCCGUUAAGUCUGCCGCCUGGGGAGUACGGUCGCAAGACUGAAACUUAAAGGAUUGGCGGGGGAGCA
rnacentral:rRNA from 1 species